AUCCUCUGGAUCCCUGUCUGGGGAGAAUCCUGUGCUCCUACGGAUUGUUUUGACAGAGGAAAAGGAUACCAGAGCGUUUGCCCAUUCCAUCACCAGACCUUAUUCUGGCUGAGGGAAGUUACUCUGCUACACCA